rnacentral:rRNA from 1 species
AACGUAGGUGGCGAGCGUUAUCCGGAUUCAUUGGGCGUAAAGAGCUUGUAGGUGGCCUUAUAAGUUGGACGUGAAAACUCCGGGCUUAACUUGGAGAGGCCGUUCAAUACUGUAGGGCUGGAGGAUGUCAGAGGGAAGUAGAAUUCCUGGUGUAGCAGUGAAAUGCGUAGAUAUCAGGAGGAAUACCCGUGGCGAAGGCGGCUUCCUGGGGCAACCCUGACACUGAGAAGCGAAAGCUAGGGGAGCAAACGGG